GUGGGGAAUAUUGGACAAUGGGCGAAAGCCUGAUCCAGCCAUGCCGCGUGAGUGAUGAAGGCCUUAGGGUUGUAAAGCUCUUUCAGUAGGGAAGAUAAUGACGGUACCUACAGAAGAAGCCCCGGCUAACUUCGUGCCAGCAGCCGCGGUAAUACGAAGGGGGCUAGCGUUGUUCGGAUUUACUGGGCGUAAAGUGCACGUAGGCGGAUUGGUCAGUUAGAGGUGAAAUCCUGGAGCUCAACUCCAAAACUGCCUUUAAUACUGACAGUCUAGAGUCCAGAAGAGGUGAGAGAAACUCCUAGUGUAGAGGUGGAAUUCGUAGAUAUUAGGAAGAACACCAGUGGCGAAGGCGGCUCACUGGUCUGGUACUGACGCUGAGGUGCGAAAGCGUGGGGAGCAAACAGGAUUAGAAACCCCGGUAGUCC
rnacentral:rRNA from 1 species